UAUCUCUCUCCCCACCCAGACUAAGUCAGGUCCUGUAUCUCUCCCCCCCAGACUAAGUCAGGUCCUGUAUCUCUCCCUCCCAGACUAAGUCAGGUCCUGUAUCUCUCUCCCCACCCAGACUAAGUCAGGUCCUGUAUCUCUCUCCCCACCCAGACUAAGUCAGGUCCUGUAUCUCUCCCUCCCAGACUAAGUCAGGUCCUGUAUCUCUCCCUCCCAGACUAAGUCAGGUCCUGUAUCUCUCCCUCCCAGACUAAGUCAGGUCCUGUAUCUCUCCCUCCCAGACUAAGUCAGGUCCUGUAUCUCUCCCUCCCAGACUAAGUCAGGUCCUGUAUCUCUCCCUCCCAGACUAAGUCAGGUCCUGUAUCUCUCCCUCCCAGACUAAGGCAGGUCCUGUACUGGUGGUAGAAGGAGAGGACAACGCCAGGACCAACCCCUGCUGUUAUAACUGUUCUCUCAGGGGCCAUUUUGGAUUUGACUGCUCAGUGAGGAGGAUGUUUGGGUGUUUCCCUCCCAACUCUCCCUUCAUCAACCAAUAUGACUCUCGCCUCUCCAUCCGCAACCGAGAUUACCCUGAGCUCAGCUCAGAGUUCAAGAGUUGAAAGAUGCAGGCCUGUUUCCGUGUCAGGUCUCACCAGACGGUGACGCCCGAGACGAUCCGCCGGGCAAACGCCAGAGAACCGACUCUAACCCGAGCUACAGGCCGUACCAGAACUACCCCCCUAAACCCUACCAUAGUGCUACUCCUAGCCGUACCCACAUCAGGUUCAGCGGAGGCCAGGAGAAACCCUGGACUCCUAAACGCAAACUAAAGGAGAGCAGAGAGGGGAAGCGCUUCACUCCAGCUUCAGCCACGCCCAAAUCCAACAUGGCUGACAGGAACCAGCCGGGAGUCAGGAAAGGCAGAAGAAGAAAACGGAAAACGGCCAAAAACAAAAUGGCCG